CAGUCGAGGGGCAGCACGGGUAGCAAUACCUGGUGGCGACCGGCAAACGGGUGCGGAACACGUACGCAACUUUCCUUCAAGUGAGGAAUAGCCCAGGGAAACUUGGAUUAAUACCUCGUAAUAUUAUGAAGUGGCAUCACUUUAUAAUUAUAGCUCCGGCGCUUGAAGAUGGGCGUGCGCCUGAUUAGGUAGUUGGCGGGGUAACGGCCCACCAAGCCUACGAUCAGUAACUGGUGUGAGAGCACGACCAGUCACACGGGCACUGAGACACGGGCCCGACUCCUACGGGAGGCAGCAGUAAGGAAUAUUGGGCAAUGGACGCAAGUCUGACCCAGCCAUGCCGCGUGGAGGAUGAAGGUCCUCUGGAUUGUAAACUUCUUUUAUCUGGGAAGAAAUCCAUAUUUUCUAAUGUGGUUGACGGUACCAGAUGAAUAAGCACCGGCUAACUCCGUGCCAGCAGCCGCGGUAAUACGGAGGGUGCAAGCGUUAUCCGGAUUCACUGGGUUUAAAGGGUGCGUAGGUGGGCAGGUAAGUCAGUGGUGAAAUCUCCGGGCUUAACUCGGAAACUGCCGUUGAUACUAUCUGUCUUGAAUAUCGUGGAGGUUAGCGGAAUAUGUCAUGUAGCGGUGAAAUGCUUAGAUAUGACAUAGAACACCCAUUGCGAAGGCAGCUAACUACACGAUCAUUGACACUGAGGCACGAAAGCGUGGGGAGCAAACAGGAUUAGAUACCCUGGUAGUCCACGCCCUAAACGAUGGAUACUCGACAUCAGCGAUACACUGUUGGUGUCUGAGCGAAAGCAUUAAGU
rnacentral:rRNA from 1 species